rnacentral:tRNA from 1 species
GAAGGUACAGCUCAGGGGCAGAGCGCGUGCUUAUAGGCACGAGGUCCUGGGUUCAAUCCCCAGUACCUCCA